ACAAAUUAGGCGACCGAAAAACCAUCUCCCCAGAAAGCUGAACAGGCUCUGACCCAUUGGUCCUUCUGCCACUGGAAAUUUUCUCUCUGUCUCCCCUUCUGCUAGACCACGGCCACCAGUAUUUCAGGACUGAUGUCAAACCAACCAACCUCCAUAUACCUGGAUCUGCACUUUUUGAAUACCGGCAUAACAUUAGCACUACUCCAGUCUUCUGGAAUUUCCCUGGUAUUCCAAACUUUAUUUCAAAAUAACAUGAGAGGACCAGACAUCUCAUCAGCCAACUCUUUUAGUACUCAUAGGUUCAAAUUAUCCAUGCCUGCAGAUUUAAAAAAUGUGUAUUCCCUAGUAGAUGUCUUAUAACAUCCUUCUUGGUUA